CUGACAGCCUUGGGCAGCAAAGUCUUCCUAUUCAUCCGCAGAAAAAUUCCACCUGAGCAGUGAGAGCAUACACUUCUCCACUAAUGUGUUUCGAAUCUUGACCCUGGAGAAACAACUCUUUGUAGUACCAAGUCUAUUCAUUUCCCACAGCCACUCAGUUCUGGUCACUC
ensembl:misc_RNA